rnacentral:rRNA from 1 species
UGGGGAAUUUUGGACAAUGGACGCAAGUCUGACGCAGCGACGCCGCGUGAGGGAUGACGGCCUUCGGGUUGUAAACCUCUUUCAGCAGGGACGAAUUUGACGGUACCUGUAGAAGAAGCACCGGCCAACUACGUGCCAGCAGCCGCGGUAAUACGUAGGGUGCGAGCGUUGUCCGGAAUUAUUGGGCGUAAAGAGCUCGUAGGCGGUCUGUCGCGUCGAAUGUGAAAACCCGGGGCUCAACUCCGGGCUUGCAUUCGAUACGGGCAGGCUAGAGUUCGGUAGGGGAGUCUGGAAUUCCUGGUGUAGCGGUGAAAUGCGCAGAUAUCAGGAGGAACACCGGUGGCGAAGGCGGGACUCUGGGCCGAUACUGACGCUGAGGAGCGAAAGCGUGGGGAGCGAACA